rnacentral:rRNA from 1 species
CCUACGGGCGGCAGCAGUGAGGAAUAUUGGUCAAUGGGCGCGAGCCUGAACCAGCCAAGUCGCGUGAAGGAUGACGGCCCUACGGGUUGUAAACUUCUUUUGUCAGGGAGCAAUUGGGUCCACGCGUGGGCUUAGCGAGAGUACCUGAAGAAAAAGCAUCAGCUAACGCCGUGCCAGCAGCCGCGGUAAUACGGAGGUUGCGAGCGUUAGCCGGAUUUAUUGGGUUUAAAGGGUGCGUAGGCUGAAUAUCAAGUCAGCGGUAAAAAAUCGGGGCUCAACCCCGUCGUGCCGUUGAGACUGAUUGUCUUGAGUGGGCGAGAAGUAUGCGGAAUGCGUGGUGUAGCGGUGAAAUGCAUAGAUAUCACGCAGAACUCCGAUUGCGAAGGCAGCAUACCGGCGCCCAACUGACGCUGAAGCACGAAAGCGUGGGGAUCGAACAGGAUUAGAUACCCCUGUAGUC